CCUUAACAUCAAGAGCCGGGCGAAUGCCCGCACCAACCUGCUCACUCGGCAAGGUGGUUUCCAAAAUGGGAUGUGGCCAAUGGGCAAAAAUGAGUAUUACC
rnacentral:ncRNA from 2 species